rnacentral:rRNA from 1 species
GACGAAGGGGGCUAGCGUUGUUCGGAAUUACUGGGCGUAAAGCGUGCGCAGGCGGUGAUGUAAGACAGAUGUGAAAUCCCCGGGCUCAACCUGGGAACUGCAUUUGUGACUGCAUCGCUGGAGUGCGGCAGAGGGGGAUGGAAUUCCGCGUGUAGCAGUGAAAUGCGUAGAUAUGCGGAGGAACACCGAUGGCGAAGGCAAUCCCCUGGGCCUGCACUGACGCUCAUGCACGAAAGCGUGGGGAGCAAACAGG